rnacentral:rRNA from 1 species
CCUACGGGUGGCAGCAGUGAGGAAUAUUGGUCAAUGGGCGAGAGCCUGAACCAGCCAAGUCGCGUGCGGGAGUACUGCCCUAUGGGUUGUAAACCGCUUUUGUCGGGGAGCAAAAGCCGUACGUGUCCGGCUGUUAGAGUUCCCGAAGAAAAAGCAUCGGCUAACUCCGUUCCAGAAGCCGCGGUAAUCCGGAGGAUGCGAGCGUUUUCCGGGUUUAUUGGGUUUUAAGGGGUCGGAGGCGGAGUUUUAAAUCAUCGGUAAAAGCGUGGGGCUAAACCCCAUACAGCCGCUGAAACUGGGGUGCUAGAGUGUGCGAGAGGUAUGCGGAAUGCGUGGUGUAGCGGUGAAAUGCAUAGAUAUCACGAAGAACCCCGAUUGCGAAGGCAGCAUACGGGUGCACAACUGACGCUCAGGCACGAAAGCGUGGGUAUCGAACAGGAUUAGAUACCCCAGUAGUC